ACGUAGGUGGCAAGCGUUGUCCGGAAUUAUUGGGCGUAAAGCGCGCGCAGGCGGAUUGGUCAGUCUGUCUUAAAAGUUCGGGGCUUAACCCCGUGAUGGGAUGGAAACCGCCAAUCUAGAGUAUCGGAGAGGAAAGUGGAAUUCCUAGUGUAGCGGUGAAAUGCGUAGAUAUUAGGAAGAACACCAGUGGCGAAGGCGACUUUCUGGACGAAAACUGACGCUGAGGCGCGAAAGCCAGGGGAGCGAACGG
rnacentral:rRNA from 1 species